rnacentral:lncRNA from 1 species
AUCCAUCUAUGAUAACAUCUCUCUUGUUCAUGGUCCUUGGAAACCACUGAUGUGUUCAUCUCAGUGUUUGUCAUCUUAACAGUUGUAUAGAUAGAAGCUUCCAGGAAGCUACUUGGGAAGCUUCAGGGAUCGCCUUAGAAAAAAAGUCUCAGGACAGUUCUGUGGUACGUCAUCUAGAUUGUUGUAAAUAUCACUAUUUCAUUCCUUUCCUGUAGAGGGCCUUCAUAUAGAGCAGUACUGCUCGGGCUGCCUAAUGCUGUGACCUUUUAAUACAGUUCCUCAUGUCGUGAUGACACCUCCCACCCAUAGAAUUAUUCUGUCACUACUUUGUACUGUAAUUUUUGCUAUUAUAAUGAAUAGUAAUGUAAAUAUCUGGCAUACAGAAUAUCUGAUGUUGUGACCCAUAGGUGAGAACUGCCGACAGAGAAAGCAUUACCAUGGGUAGCAUCAGGUUGCUCUUACAGAUAACACUGCUGAAAAAGAUUGUGCUUGUACACUGUCCAUCUGUGGGGGGAUGGUAUGCUAAAUGAUCAAGAAUAUAAUUUUCAGGUUAUAUGUUAAUUACAUUCUUGUAACUAUACUCUAGAAAAAAAUAAUAUAGAUUAAUGAAAGUUACUUAAAAUGAUUUUUAUUUUUGCUUCUAGAAUUUUCCACUUGAUAUUUUCAGACUAUUGUUGAUUAUAGCUAACUCAAACCAUGAAAAAUAAAUUCUGAAUAAAGGAGACUAGUGUGUCUUUAAGUAUCUGUAUGUCUGCACCUUAUUUUGUUUUUUAUUUGCAGCCCCUGAUACUGAACAUUUUUGAUGUGCUUAUUUGUCCUCUGCAUAUACAUUUUAUUGUGUCGUACUUAUUUUCCAAUUGGGUAGGUAUUUUCCUCUGUUUGAGAGUUUUAUUUUUUUAAACAUAUUUUGAAUACUUGUUCUAUAUUGGACAGGGAACUUACAAAUGUUUUUCUCGUCUCUCUGUAGCCUGUUUUUUUUUUCCCAUGUCUAUUUGUUUACCAUGUAGUUUUAACUUCUUAAUUAUAAAUUUAACUCUGUAAUCAAGCUUUAUAUGCAGUAGAAUAGAGAAAAAAAUGGAACCCCAAAGAACUAUUGUAAAAGCAUGACAUCUUAGACCUUGUGGACAAAGGGGAUGGAAUACUGUCCUGCAAGCAGGCGUGGUCUACAUCAGUGGUUCUCAACCUUCCUAACACUGCAACCCUUUAACACAGCUCCACAUGUUGUGGUGACCCAACCAGAAAAUUAUUUUGUUGCUACUUAAUCACUGUAAUUUUGCUGCUGUUAUGAAUCAUAAUGUAAAUAUCUGCUAUGCAUGAUAUCUGAUAUGUGACCCCAAAGGGGUCGUGACCCACAGGCUAAGAACCAUUUGUCUAUAUGAUGAAGACACAGGUCACGUGUCUCAGUGAUGUCCACAGCUUCCAAGACCUAAGUGCUUCAUGACUUUCAUGUUGUUCAUGUUCCUUUCUCCUUGCCAGAGGCCACAUGCCUGCCAUAUAGCCACUCAAGUCCUGGCAGUGGAUAAACUAUGAAAAAUGAGCCCUUUGUGUUCAGUACAGCAUUUGCCAUGGAAAGAUGCCAGGACCAUGAUGCUCAGAGUAAAGUUCUUCCACUAGACGGUCCUGCUGUUGGCACCACAUGCGUAUAAACUAACACUCUGGGACAUAAACCUUGGGAGUAAUUCUGUGAAAGAGGGAAUCCUUAUAACCAUACCCUUUCUGUCCAGUGUUCAGAACAUGAACGUUUCAUGCUGCCUUUGGAUCUUAGUCUGCAAAUGGCUCAAGGAAAAUGAGGACGGAAAGCUUCUCAUUGAUGAAUAAUACAUUUCAGAAAACAGCAGGGGUGGGCUAGUUAUGGCUUCACACUCCUCUGAGACCAGCACUUGAGAAGUAGAGGCAGGAAGAUCAGGAGAUCACAACCAGCUUGGCUAUGUAGUGAGGCCCUUUCUCAUAGCCUUUGCACUCACAGUAACGACAGUAACAACAACAAUAGCAGCAGCAACAGCAGCAGCAACAACAACAGUCACUCUUCCUCCCCAACUAAACCAAACAAUAAUCUCAACCUCAAACACCACAGUGGAGUUGAUCAUGGCUGACAGCGGGCGGCAAGCUGCUCUGGACAACAGCAGCAUCUGCAAAGCUUGCCUUUUUGUACUCCUUAUAGAGUCUUUGCAGGGAAAAGCGUUUUUAUUUUUGAAAACAUCUAGCUGAGCAUUGUUUUCCAUGUGGAUCAUGUGCUUGGUGUCAAAUAUAAGAAUUCUGCAUGCCGUGGAUCCUAAAGAUUUUAUCCUGUUUUAAAAAGUGUAUGGCUUUAUAUUUCAUGAUGUAGUUCAUUUGCAGUUAAUUUUGUAUAAAGAUUUUUUUCCCCAACUG